UACGUAGGUGGCAAGCGUUGUCCGGAAUUAUUGGGCGUAAAGCGCGCGCAGGCGGUCCUUUAAGUCUGAUGUGAAAGCCCACGGCUCAACCGUGGAGGGUCAUUGGAAACUGGGGGACUUGAGUACAGAAGAGAAGAGUGGAAUUCCACGUGUAGCGGUGAGAUGCGUAGAGAUGUGGAGGAACACCAGUGGCGAAGGCGACUCUUUGGUCUGUAACUGACGCUGAGGCGCGAAAGCGUGGGGAGCGAACAGG
rnacentral:rRNA from 1 species